rnacentral:rRNA from 1 species
UACAGAGACUGCAAGCGUUAUUCGGAUUCACUGGGCGUAAAGGGUGCGCAGGCGGCCGGGUGUGUCAGAUGUGAAAUCCCGAGGCUCAACCUCGGAACUGCGUCUGAAACUACUCGGCUAGAGUAUUGGAGAGGGUAACGGAAUUCACGGUGUAGCAGUGAAAUGCGUAGAUAUCGUGAGGAACACCAGAGGCGAAGGCGGUUACCUGGACAAUUACUGACGCUCAGGCACGAAAGCGUGGGUAGCAAAAGGG